ensembl:snoRNA small nucleolar RNA SNORA22
UUGCACAGAGAACACCCAAGGAUGCCAGUGUGGCUCCCCCUGGUCUUCAUAUCUGUGCCACAGUAACUCUGGUCUGUACCUCUGCAUUAGAGGAGCAAUCUUCUCCCCUACAUGUAUUCAGCGGAUCAGAAUAAAU